AGUGAACGCUGGCGGUAGGCCUAACACAUGCAAGUCGAACGGCAGCACAGGAGAGCUUGCUCUCUGGGUGGCGAGUGGCGGACGGGUGAGGAAUGCAUCGGAGUCUACUUUUUCGUGGGGGAUAACGUAGGGAAACUUACGCUAAUACCGCAUACGACCUACGGGGGAAAGCAGGGGAUCUUCGGACCUUGCGCGAUUGAAUGAGCCGAUGUCGGAUUAGCUAGUUGGCGGGGUAAAGGCCCACCAAGGCGACGAUCCGUAGCUGGUCUGAGAGGAUGAUCAGCCACACUGGAACUGAGACACGGUCCAGACUCCUACGGGAGGCAGCAGUGGGGAAUAUUGGACAAUGGGCGCAAGCCUGAUCCAGCCAUACCGCGUGGGUGAAGAAGGCCUUCGGGUUGUAAAGCCCUUUUGUUGGGAAAGAAAUCCAGCUGGCUAAUACCCGGUUGGGAUGACGGUAUCCAAAGAAUAAGCACCGGCUAACUUCGUGCCAGCAGCCGCGGUAA
rnacentral:rRNA from 1 species